rnacentral:rRNA from 1 species
UACGUAGGGUGCAAGGCGUUGUCCGGAAUUAUUGGGCGUAAAGAGCUCGUAGGCGGUUUGUUGCGUCGGCUGUGAAAUCCCGAGGCUCAACCUCGGGUCUGCAGUCGAUACGAGCAAACUAGAGUGUUGCAGGGGAGACUGGAAUUCCUGGUGAUAGCGGUGAAAUGACGCAGAUAUCAGGAGGAACACCGAUGGCGAAGGCAUCCCCUGGGCCUGUACUGACGCUCCAUGGCAACGAAAGCCGUGGGGAGCAAACAGG